rnacentral:snoRNA from 1 species
AUGAGGAUGAGAGACGUAUUGUGAUUGUCUCUUCAUUGACAAGAGCUUUGAGGUAUAACAAGAGAUUUGGCCGAGAUAUCGUUUCGGUCGUCCUUUUUACUUGAUUGACGAUUCGAUUGUUGCUCGUCCACAU